rnacentral:rRNA from 1 species
CGCGGCCUAUCAGCUUGUUGGUGAGGUAAUGGCUCACCAAGGCUUCGACGGGUAGCCGGCCUGAGAGGGCGACCGGCCACACUGGGACUGAGAUACGGCCCAGACUCCUACGGGAGGCAGCAGUGGGGAAUAUUGCACAAUGGGCGCAAGCCUGAUGCAGCAACGCCGCGUGCGGGAUGACGGCCUUCGGGUUGUAAACCGCUUUCAGUAGGGACGUAGCUAACGUGACGGUACCUACAGAAGAAGGACCGGCUAACUACGUGCCAGCAGCCGCGGUGAUACGUAGGGUCCGAGCGUUGUCCGGAAUUAUUGGGCGUAAAGGGCUUGUAGGCGGUCCGUCGCGUCAGGAGUGAAAACUCGGGGCUUAACCCCGAGCCUGCUUUUGAUACGGGCGGACUAGAGGGAUGCAGGGGAGAACGGAAUUCCUGGUGGAGCGGUGGAAUGCGCAGAUAUCAGGAGGAACACCGGUGGCGAAGGCGGUUCUCUGGGCAUCACCUGACGCUGAGAAGCGAAAGCGUGGGGAGCAAACAGGCUUAGAUACCCUGGUAGUCCACGCCGUAAACGGUGGGCACUAGGUGUGGGGGACAUUCCACGUUCUCCGUGCCGAAGCUAACGCAUUAAGUGCCCCGCCUGGGGAGUACGG